CCUACGGGAGGCAGCAGUGAGGAAUAUUGGUCAAUGGGCGGAAGCCUGAACCAGCCAUCCCGCGUGAAGGAAGAAGGCCUUAUGGGUUGUAAACUUCUUUUCUGUUUGAAGAAUAAGCUUGUCGAGACAAGUGAUGCCGGUAGGACAGGAAUAAGCAUCGGCUAACUCCGUGCCAGCAGCCGCGGUAAU
rnacentral:rRNA from 1 species